UAAGACAGAGGAGGCAAGCGUUGUCCGGACUCACUGGGCGUAAAGCGCACGCAGGCGGCGCGACAAGUACGGACUGAAAUCUUGCGGCUUAACCGCAAGGCUGGUUCGUAGACUGCCGUGCUUGAGCUAUGCAGAGGUCGAUGGAAUUGCCGGUGUAGUGGUGAAAUGCGUAGAGAUCGGCAGGAACACCAAGGGCGAAAGCAGUCGACUGGGCAUGGGCUGACGCUCAGGUGCGAAAGCGUGGGGAGCGAACUGGAUUAGAUACCCAGGUAGUCCACGCGGUAAACGAUGUACGCUCGGCAUUUAGUCGCUAUCAACGCGGCCGGGUGCCUCAGCUAACGCGGGAAGCGUACCGCCUGGGAACUACGAGCGCAAGCUUA
rnacentral:rRNA from 1 species